rnacentral:rRNA from 1 species
AACACAUGCAAGUCGAGGGGCAUCAGAGGCGUAGCAAUACACCGCUGGCGACCGGCGCACGGGUGAGUAACACGUAUCCAACCUGCCCUUUACUCGGGGAUAGCCUUUCGAAAGAAAGAUUAAUACCCGAUGGUAUAACAUGACCUCCUGGUUUUGUUAUUAAAGAAUUUCGGUAGAGGAUGGGGAUGCGUUCCAUUAGGCAGUUGGCGGGGUAACGGCCCACCAAACCUUCGAUGGAUAGGGGUUCUGAGAGGAAGGUCCCCCACAUUGGAACUGAGACACGGUCCAAACUCCUACGGGAGGCAGCAGUGAGGAAUAUUGGUCAAUGGGCGAGAGCCUGAACCAGCCAAGUGGCGUGAAGGAUGACCGCCCUAUGGGUUGUAAACUUCUUUUAUAUGGGAAUAAAGGGUGCCACGUGUGGCAUUUUGUAUGUACCAUAUGAAUAAGGAUCGGCUAACUCCGUGCCAGCAGCCGCGGUAAUACGGAGGAUCCGAGCGUUAUCCGGAUUUAUUGGGUUUAAAGGUAGCGUAGGUGGACAUGUAAGUCAGUUGUGAAAGUUUGCGGCUCAACCGUAAAAUUGCAGUUGAUUCUGCGUGUCUUGAGUACAGUAGAGGAGGGCGGAAUUCGUGGUGUAGCGGUGAAAUGCUUAGAUAUCACGAAGAACUCCGAUUGCGAAGGCAGCUCACUGGACUGCAACUGACACUGAUGCUCGAAAGUGUGGGUAUCAAACAGGAUUAGAUACCCUGGUAGUCCACACAGUAAACGAUGAAUACUCGCUGUUUGCGAUAUACAGUAAGCGGCCAAGCGAAAGCAUUAAGUAUUCCACCUGGGGAGUACGCCGGCAACGGUGAAACUCAAAGGAAUUGACGGGGGCCCGCACAAGCGGAGGAACAUGUGGUUUAAUUCGAUGAUACGCGAGGAACCUUACCCGGGCUUAAAUUGCAAAUGAAUAUGCCGGAAACGGCAUAGCCGCAAGGCAUUUGUGAAGGUGCUGCAUGGUUGUCGUCAGCUCGUGCCGUGAGGUGUCGGCUUAAGUGCCAUAACGAGCGCAACCCUUAUCUUCAGUUACUAACAGGUCAUGCUGAGGACUCUGGAGAGACUGCCGUCGUAAGAUGUGAGGAAGGUGGGGAUGAUGUCAAAUCAGCACGGCCCUUACGUCCGGGACUACACACGUGUUACAAUGGGGGGUACAGAAGGCCGCUACACAGCGAUGUGAUGCCAAUCCCUAAAGCCCCUCUCAGUUCGGAUCGAAGUCUGCAACCCGACUUCGUGAAGCUGGAUUCGCUAGUAAUCGCGCAUCAGCCACGGCGCGGUGAAUACGUUCCCGGGCCUUGUACACACCGCCCGUCAAGCCAUGGGAGCCGGGGGUACCUGAAGUACGUAACCGCAAGGAGCGUCCUAGGGUAAAACUGGUGACUGGGGCUAAGA